CAUAAUUCAGUGAAAAAACUAUAUGAUUUUUUUUAAUACGACAUAUAUAUAAUCUUCAUGAUAAAACUUUUUUUUUGUUAAGAUUUGUAAAGUGAGAUAUAACAAUUAAGUACAUACCAUACUCAUAUAAAUUGUUAUUGUUAAAUUUUAAAAAUAAUAUAACUGAAAGUAUAAGAAAAUUUCCACAUCAACUUACUUUAAAGAAUUAACUAUAUUUUUCAAAAAUUAAAUGAAGUCCAAAUUAAAUGUAAAUGUAGUUUUAAAGUAUAUAAUUUUUACUAAAAUUCAAAAUUUUAUAAAACAAUAUCCCAACCAAUCAUCUCGCUUUAUUUAAAAAAAGAACUAAUUUAGAAAGAGAGAAACUUUGGCCUUCGAUAGAAUAACAAGUAUUCUUAUCAUUUUAGUUAGCAUUUUCAGGUUUUAGAGUUUUAUUGGAGAUAAUCUAACAAUCUAACCUAUACUAAAAGGGGAUAUCAAGCCCUCUCACCGCAUCCACGUCAGCUGAAAAAUUCAGCCAAUAAGAAUCAAUGUUUUUUCCACAUCACCUAUGUCUUCUCUGUGUGGGCCUCUACGUUUCAUUCUCCGUAUGGGCCUCUACGUCAGCAUCUUUUUAUUAUUUGUAGGUCUCACAAAAAUUCAAUUUAGAAUCUCUUAAACUAAUAACGAGUUAACCUAAUCCAAUUCAUUGCUCUGUCUUCCACUUCCUCUGUUGGCUUGCCGCCUGCGCCCUUUCACUUCUCAUAUCAUUCCCCUCUCCAUUAUUAAUUUUUAUAUAACUUCAACAAUUCAAGCGUUUCGUAACCGAUAGAGGGAGACCACUAUAAAUAGCAGAGGCCCCAGCACCAAGACCAACAUCUGAUCUCCCUGCAAGUUACUAUCCAACAGUGUCUGCGGCCGGCGAUGCUCUUGCUUCCCCAGCUGUGGUUCACCAUGCUACUUUUGAUGAUCUUCGUCAUAGAUGUUUGGGUGGCACGGCUCCGUAUUAACCCAUUGCAUGCAAGGCAAGGGAACCUUAUGAUUUCCAACCAGGUGUCUUAGCCGCUGAUGCUAUAACUCUUGCAUUUGUUUGUCUUAAUUUAUUUAAUGUAUGAAAAUUCAUGGUAUACUUAAUGAUCCAGUUUAUGUUGAUUUACUGAUAGAGACUAGAGAUUGCAUGUUUAUAUUUGUCAUAUCUUUAAUUCUCUUCGGCCAUUUUCUUUAGGACGCUUUUAGAUACCUCUUAAGCAUAGUUAAGCAUGAGGUUCUCUUAUAUGUUGAAAGUUUUUCAGAAAGUAAAUGUAUGUCUCAGACUCCUUGAUAUGCUUGGUUUGAUGAGUGUUUGUUUUAUGAUAAAGUAAAUCUGAGGGAAAGAUAUGAGAUGGGAUUUUUUUGAUAAUAGCCCUGUUCGUUUUCAAAACGCUGCGUCAAAAACCAGCGGCCAAAAAUAUAAAAGGAUUUUAAGUGACAGCUCAGCAACCAAUAGAAAAAGAGGGCUGAAAUAUGCUAAUGUUCGCUGCUAGCGGCAGCUCAAGCUAUGUGCGGGUGACGCUGAUUUAAACAGCGACGAUAAAAUAGAAGAAACGAAGAGCAGCGACACUUGCCGGCGGCAAUUCUGUAACAACACUCCACUGAUAUUCCUCUCUCAUGCUUGUUAUUUUUUGGUCGCUGUUCUCUGACGCGCGUUAGAGAAACGAACAUGGCUAAUCUAAAUUAUUAUUGAAGCUUCAACGGCUGAUAUUAGCAAAGCUCAAAAAAAAAAAUGAAGGAAAGCUGGCGAAAUAGCAAUAUAGAAAUUGUAGUUGUGGCUUUUUAAUUCAUCUACUUAUAGUUUUGGCUUUUUCAAUGUGUUGACUAACUCCAAUGUGUAAACUUUUUCAUUUUCUGGCAUUUGGCAAUUUCUGUUAUCAAUGUGUUGACUAUGCAUUUUUGUAAUCAUCUCCAUAUAGAAGCUAGCGGAAGUACCAGAUAUAAGCAUAUUCUCAAGGCUUUUGGUCUUUGACGUAUCUUUCAAUGAAAUCACUUCGUUGGAAGGAUUAUCAAAGGCCUCUAGCACGUUGAAGGAGCUCUAUGUGUCUAAGAAUGAAGUUAACAAGAUUAUGGAGAUUGAACACUUGCACGACUUGCAGAUUUUUGAGCUAGGGUCCAAUAGAUUGCGGGUGAUGGUGAAUAUGGAGAGCUUGACAAAGUUAGAAGAGCUGUGGCUGGGAAGAAACCGUAUCAAAGUUGUGAACUUGUGUGGGCUCAGAUGCAUUAAAAAGAUUAGCUUGCAGAGCAAUCAAUUGACCUCUAUGAAAGGAUUUGAGUGUGGACAGGACUGUGUUGCUCUUGAAGAGUUGUAUCUGAGCCAUAAUGGUAUCUCAAAAAUGGAGUUGUGAACUUGUGUGGGCUCAGAUGUAUUAAAAAGAUUAGCUUGCAGAGCAAUCGAUUGACCUCUAUGAAAGGAUUUGAGGUGUGUGUUGUUUUACUCUUACCAUCAUUUUACGAAAUCUGAUGCAUUGAAAAAAAUAUGUGGACAUGACUGUGUUGCUCUUGAAGAGUUGUAUCUGAGCCAUAAUGGUAUCUCAAAAAUGGAAGGCUUGAGUGCGUUGGUUAACCUACGGGUAUUAGACGUGUCGAACAACAAGCUCACAUCAGUUGAUGACAUUCAGAGCCUCACAAAGCUGGAAGAUUUAUGGCUUAAUGACAACCAGAUAGAAAUACUUGAAGCUAUCACAGAAGCUGUUGAAGGCUCUAAAGCUAACAGAUUUCCCGGAUUCUCCAUAAAAUGGAUGCUAAUGUAACUGCAAACUGUGUUCAUUCUGGAAUCGUGAGAACGCGUCUCACAAGAGACCGAGACGGCCUCAUCACUGAUUUUGUCUUUUUCUUGACCUCUAAGCUUUUGAAGUCCGUUCCUCAGGCAGCAGCAACGACAUGCUGCCUAGCAACGAGUCCGAGAUUGAGGAACGUGUGCGGCAAAUACUUUUCAGACUGUAAUGAAGCUCGGACUUCUAAUCCGGAUCGUGCAAUCUUAAAGCUCAGAGACUGUGGACUGCUUCUGAGUUGUUGGUCACUCCAGCUUCCACUCCCGAUGUUUAUCAAACCUUUAACUAAUUUUUAACCAACGAUGCUAUGUAUGUGUAAAGCCUUUCCAAGCUUCUUGGUUGUGAAAUAUUUUAGAUCAUUUGGAGGAGUAAUAAAGUUUAUAUGUUAUCACUAA